GUGGGAUGGGGACAGGGACAGGAACGGGGGGGGUGAGGUGGGGAUGGGAUGGGGACAGAACAGGACAGGGACAGGGACGGGGAUGCUGAUCUCAACCACCAGGUGCUGGCACCGUCUGGUGGGCACAGACAGGAGGGGAGCUACGCGGCCGCCCCACAGGUGCCGUGUCCAAGGCGGGGGCUCCAGCGCUGCCAGCGGGUCCCCAGCACACCCUGACCCCCACGGGGGCACGCGGGGACACCUCUCACCCUCACUCUCGUGAAGAUAACGGCCCAGGAUUAAAAACCAAACAGCCCCAGAGCACCCCUCAUCUUGUGUCUGAGAAAACUUCCUUCCCCAGGCACAAGCAGAAAAGAUUUUUACAAAACUCCCGAAAGUUCAGCGGAAAGCUAAAAAAGAAGCCAACGUCCACCAAAAAGAACUGGAGGAGGUGUCGAGGCGAAGCCCUUGUGGCCCUCCCAGCGCUGCAGGCCCACCCGGCUCCCUGGUGCACCCCGUGAAUCGCAGCCCCGGCAGGACGGGAGCCGGCCGAGAGGCUGCAGACAAAGGGAGGCAGCGGAGCUGCAGCGUGCUGGGGGAAGCGCCCGCAGCCAGCCCACAGCUUGAUGAAGAUGGAUGGGAGCAGGGCAGAGGCUGCGGCCUCCCCCCGGCCCCACGGCACGCAGGUGGGGAAGCAGCAGCAGGUGCCAAAGCGGAGCUUGGUGGGACACAAGCAGCGAGGAGGAAGCCGCAGCUAUGGAGGCUGCACGUGUGGAGAGCGGGACAAGGACAAAGACAUGCCGGACAAAAAAGCAGCAGCAGUAGAAAGGGGGUGAUGAUAUUUUUGGUAUUUUCCAUUGAAUGCUGAGUUUGGAAACAAUUGUCUCACCAGCUUUGCUCACACCCCACCAUUUCCCCUCCCCAUUUUGAACAAGGCGAACAAACAAUUGCUUUAAAAAUUGAGCCAGGAAUUUAAAUGAAUUCCUACAUACUAACGUUUCCUACCCAGAGCUGGGUUCAGAAGCCAGGUUUUUUUGAUCUUUAUUGUAGAAAAAAAGAAAUUCCCAACUCCUCUUCAGAAAGAAAGAGGAGUCAGGAAUGAGGGGCCUACAGGAGCUCCCCACGACUUGAAGAGGUUGAAACCAGAGAGGCUGCAGAGGAGAGGCAGCAGCGAGGCAGAGGACAGGAGGGACGGAGCUCUCACCCCUUCCAGAGGGGUGCGUACACCCGGCCAUUGCUUUUCUGCCUCAUGGUGCUCAAAGUACUCAGACCCUAAGGAUCUCUGCUGCCACAGCACCCUGGGGUCACAACUGCGGGUAGCUUUAGGAGGAGGAGGACUCUUCCUCCUGCAGUCCUGAACCAUUUCUAAGAGGUCCAUGAAACACAAACAAGGCUCUUUGCAUCAAUCUUCAACCCCCGCCACAGGGCUGGGAUGGGAAUGUUGGAAACCACAGCGCUUUGCCAAUAAUUUCUGUGCAUUUGCACAAGAGCACGGCUCUCACAACAUCAGGGUGCCACCCUAGGGUGCCACCCUCCUGCGGCCCAGCCAGAGAUGCCUCACAGGACUUGGUAGUUUCUCCCUACAGGAGCUGCACGUGCUCAGCCCUAGCACCCAGAAGCAGCAGCAGCCCCCAGGGCCUUGCCCGACUCCAUCCUGUGCCCUCCAAGCCCUCAGGAACCCCUCCCCGGGGCAGCGUGCCGCCUGCUCCUUGCUUUGCAAAGGGGCCACCACAGAGAGCUAGAGGCACUGAAGGAGCAGCCAGCUGCUGGCAAAUAUAAGUUAGGUGAGCCAGCUUGGCAGCCAGGCUCGAGGCCCUGCCCAUCAGGAACGUUUCUCAUGCCAGGCACAGACCACCAGGCAAAGGGGACAGUCCUAAGUAAUAAAAGCUGGGCAGAAGCCUGGGUUGAGCAGGGGCCGAACAAGGAGCCUUGUGUAUGAGACAGGUCGUGCCUCAGGCUGCUGGCAGGGACAACAUCUAGACAACACCUACAUGCUUCAGACAUGGUAUCACCAAGCUCCGUGGGGGUGGGGAGGAGCCUUCCUUUCCGUUUUGAGUAAGAUUCUUCCCAAUGACUGUUCAGGAGAGGGCACAGGCUGGCAGUGUCCAGCCCUAGCAGCCGGACCUCGGCUGUUCCACCUCCAUCCUCCUGAAGGAUGAGCCCCCUCUCCCCUUCCUCCCCAGCACUCCACCUCCUCCUGACCUGAACUCUGCUGAGUAAGAGCCAUGGACCAGCUCGGCAAGCUGCAGCUUCAGGGCACGGUGCUGGGGAACUUCACGCUGCUGCAGGGCAGUGGGGGCUCGCUCCAGAGCUGAGCCCACGCGGAGCCAAGCCCCCUCUGCCUGCUGGAGCCGGGUGCGCAGCACAGCACCCAGGCUGUUUUCCCAGAGCUGCCUUGGCAGAAGUCACCACCUGCCCGGUGAGAGCAAAAAGCUUGCUUCAUUUUGUAAGAAAUCAGCAAGGUGCAUUCCUGGAUUUGGCAUGAACAGGCAGAUGGGUAAGCAUCAGAAAUGGAUGAAAGAGCACAGCAGUUCUCUUCGAAUAAUUUAUUAAAUACAGCAUUAAAAUUUGUGUUUAUGAAUUCAAUCAUUAAAAACAAAACUUUAUCUCAUAUAUAUAUAUAUUUAGGGACAAUGACAAUCAUUCUUUCAACAUUGGUGCAUGUUGUGCCAGCACUGCUCAGAACGGCACCUUCUCUACACUAUCCUUAAAGCAGUUCAACACUUUUAAAAUAAAAUAAAACGAAAUAAAAAGCA